UCGUGCCCCGGGGGAGGGGAAAAAGGAGGACCCGGGAAAGGGGAAAGAUUUAAAAUAGUCUACAGAAAGGAGAGGAGGAAGGGGACGGGUGACACAUCGUUCACAUAGCCCAGGUUCUGAUUUCAAGUGAAGACCCCGCCGCUGCGCCCACACAGACAGCUUGACAUUCCCAGCUCCACAUGCCAAAAAGAAAGAAAGAAAAGAGAGAAGAAAAAAUAGCAAAAGCCGGGACUGCCACCUAUUAUUUACUUAGGCACAGUCAAAAGCGGUCAGGAGGAAAAGGGGGGAAGUGGGACAGGGGCUCCGAAGGAGGGAAAUGAAAGAAGGAAACGUCCUCGUCCUCCCUCUGCAGCUUCUCCCCUGCGCUCCUCGGGCGAAUCGGAGAGGCGGGCGCUGCGCUGGGGAAAGUUUGUCCCACCCGCACCUCGCAGCUGGCUUCGAGGAGAGGAGGAGGAGCGGGAAGUACGGCUCCGAGCCUGCGGCCGCGAGGACGACUGAGCUAGCGCCGCGCUUACCUCGCAGUCCUCGUACUUGAUAUUAUCCGUCAGUUUCCAAAGCAUUUUCAUGGAUCGGCGUGAAUGGAUUUGCCCCCUCUCCGCCUCGCACCCAAGUGGAGCUACUCUCUGGCCUAAUCGCCUCAUUAGCAUAUCAACAAUAGUCCAAUUGCUCGCCAGCACCACAAUCUGCCGCCGGCCGCUCCGACCCAGGUAUAAAGGCCUCUCCAAGCCGCAAACUUGCUCCUAGAGCGCGCUCCUGCCGGGGAGCCCACGAAAUCUCCCUUGAGCCCCGCCGCGCGCCCCUGUCCCGGCGCCCCCGCCCCCAUGCCACUCUUCUCCUCUCUCCUCUCCUCUCCUCUCCGUCUCCUCCUCGCCGGAGACGCCCCGGCAAAAGCCCGGCACUGCGCAGGGUCCGAGAGGCCGCGCCGGGGCCCGGCUUUCAUCACCUCUCCCUCAUCCCUGCCUCCACCAGCGGCUCUGUCCUUUCGGCCCCGUCCAAUCUUAUUAGAAAUUACUAUCCCUUUCGCAAUCAAAUAUAACCACCAAACGAAGACCGGCGAAGUCACAUCAGGAUUUUUGCCCAACAAGAGAUCGCCUCCGCUCCCGGCAGCUGACACCUCCGGCCGCGGCGCCCUGGGAGUUUUACUGGCUUCGCGCUUCCCAGCCCACCCCACCCCCCAGGUUGGAGAUUUUGCCAGACGGCUUCAGUCGCUCGGCUGGGCUUUGGGAUCCUUUAAUUGCCGCGUGUAAAAUAAAAAGUGUACCCUGAAGAGGUUACUUGACA